rnacentral:tRNA from 1 species
GGGGUUGUGACUCAGUGGUAGAGUGCUUGCCUAGCAUGCAUGAGGUACUGGGUUCGAUCCUUGGCACCA